rnacentral:rRNA from 1 species
GAUGAACGCUGGCGGCGUGCCUAAUACAUGCAAGUCGAGCGAACAGACGAGGAGCUUGCUCCUCUGACGUUAGCGGCGGACGGGUGAGUAACACGUGGAUAACCUACCUAUAAGACUGGGAUAACUUCGGGAAACCGGAGCUAAUACCGGAUAAUAUAUUUAACCGCAUGGUUCAAUAGUGAAAGACGGUUUUGCUGUCACUUAUAGAUGGAUCCGCGCCGCAUUAGCUAGUUGGUAAGGUAACGGCUUACCAAGGCAACGAUGCGUAGCCGACCUGAGAGGGUGAUCGGCCACACUGGAACUGAGACACGGUCCAGACUCCUACGGGAGGCAGCAGUAGGGAAUCUUCCGCAAUGGGCGAAAGCUUGACGGAGCAACGCCGCGUGAGUGAUGAAGGUCUUCGGAUCGUAAAACUCUGUUAUUAGGGAAGAACAAAUGUGUAAGUAACUAUGCACGUCUUGACGGUACCUAAUCAGAAAGCCACGGCUAACUACGU